CUCAACCUACUGAACCACCUAGGUGCCCAUGUUGGUCUCAUUUUAAAGGCUCAGAGAAAUGACUUGCCUAAGGGCACACAGCUAGUAAAUGUUACAUUGCACAGCUUUGCUCCUAGCCAGAGGGCUCUAGCCUUUGUGCUAUAACAUUGUUUUCUAGGGGGAAAAUUCCUGCUCUUAAUUUAGGGAACAACCUGUUUGUGGAGAUGUGACCUCUGAAUGCUAACGUUGUAAAAAUACCUAGAGAUGUUGAGGCCAUGGAAAGAACAGAGUUGUUGUUGUUGUUGUUUUUGUUGUUGUUUUCCUGCUCUUUUAAUUUUGGAGGUUAGUUUUGGGACGGGGGAGGAGAAUGAAGAGGUUGAGGCUUUGGUGUAGUGGAAAGAACACUGGACUGGAGUCAAGAGAACCAUUUACUAGCUGAAUAUUCUUGGGCGGGUGACUCCUCUCUAAGCUUCAGUGUCACUUGUUUCAUAGCGUGUGCUUGUUUUUGUGUUUAAAUUUACAGUAGUGGAAUCUUUUGAAAUCUUUUGUAUUUUAGGAUUUUUUAAGUCUUUGUUGCCAAAUAAAGUCACAUUCCAUGUUUAGUUACCCAGAGUUGCUCAGACCAUGAAACGAAUCUAUUUGCAAUAUUAAAAGUUGAGUUCAUUCAAUUAUUUUUGUUUUCUUACAGCAAAAUAUUAUUGUAAUUAUAUGCUAUAUAUAAAAUAUAAAUGUAUUAUAAUUAGAGGUUGCCUAAUUGAAUGUACUUUUAAUUGCCAAAUUUUGCUGCAAAUGGAGCGUCACACCUUGGCCCGUCUGGAGUUCUGCCGCUUGUCAUUUGCCAGGAGAGAAUCCAUAAAACCUUGAACAGAGAAACCAUCAACAUUUUAGUAAAACAGGCACGGGGAUUGUGUUUUCUGAACCUGGAGUUCACCAUAGAAUUAAACAGUUAAAAGACGUCGCUCAGUUUUAGGAAAGAAGCUGAGGAAAGCAGAGGAAGGCCCUGCCCUCCUCCUCAUACAACUGCUGUCUUGUGGAAUGUGGUAGAACUUUCUCUGACCUCUUGUCUUUAGUAGUCUCUGCCACUUUACUUUUCUCAUCUUGCUGUAAAGGAAACGUUUGCCCAGAGCAGACAAGCUAUUUCACUUCUUGAAGAACCUCUUGUUCAAAUAAGAUGCCAUGCAAAACGCACAAGUGCAAAACAGCUAAAGCAGAGCUGUCUGUUUCCUGCCCCAUAAGGGGCUCCUCAGAACGGUGAAGGGUCCUGGAGCUGGCCCAGAGCUGCUGUUUAUGUAGAUGGAGACGCCGAGUCCAGAGACAGGAAGUGAUUUCUCCAAGGAGCACAAGCAGGGGAGGGGCAGAGAGAGGGAGGACAGAGGAUCCGAA